AGUGCUUAAUAACGGAGCGCUCGGAACCUUGGCAGCCACGCGGGAAACCCCGCCCGCAGGCACCCACCCCUUGGCCACAUCGAGCGCCGCUCCCCCAUGGCCACGCGUGGGAGCUCGCAACUUUCCAGGUUUAUUGAGUCCGCUGUCUGAUCUCCCUGCAACCCUUACCUCUCCCCUGGGACCUCCAGUCUGAGCUGGAGAGAGACGGACGAGGUCUUGUUGAACCUCCACGAGAAUGGUUGACAGGCUGGACUUUCUGAUGAGAUAUAUACUCAGGAGUGGGACUGCUGGGUCAUAUGGUGCGUGAGCACACUUGCUAAGUCACUUCAGUCAUGUCUGACUCAGACUCCAUGGACUGUACCCCACCAGCCAAGAACACUGGAGUGGGUUGCCAUGCCCUCCUACAGGAGAUCUUCUCAACCCAGGGAUGGAACCCUCAUCUCUGACAUCUCCAGCAUUGGCAGACGGGUACUUUACCACUAGCGCCACCUGGGAAGCCCGGGCCAUAUGGUAGCUCUGUGGGUUUUGUUUUUUUGUUUGUUUUUAAGGAAGCUUCAUACUGCUUUCUAUAGUGGCUACACCAAUUUAUAUUCCUAUUCCUGAUGGUUUUGGCGGGGAGGGGGGGGGUGGCUAUUGGCACUCAUAGGUGUCAACAGCUAUUAUUAUAGGGGUUGCUAUCAUUGCCCCCCAGCCCUGGUUCUUGCCUCUGAGACCUCCCAGCUGGACACCCUGAAGCCCUUCUUUCUUCCUCCUGACCCCACCUAGCAGCCUGCGUGCCCAUCCCAUUCCUCCUGCGUCUUCUGAGGUGGCCAGGACAUCAUGGGAGAGCGGGGUAUGCCCGGGAGGCAGACAACUCCAGAAAUUCCAGGGCAGAGGCAGGGCUGGGUGCUGUUUGUCUUGCCCUUGCCAGGGCAAGGUCUCUGAGUUUGUUCUGGGGCUUUCAUCCUUUUCCAUGUGGGUGAUUCAGGACACAAUGUCCUGCCCAACUUGCCACUCAACCUUGGUGAUCCUAAACCUAGCCUUACUGACUAUCUGUGGGAGUCUGCAAAUUGUCGAAGCAGCUGCGGGUGGUAUGAAAAGAGCUCUUGAAAUCAUGUUCCCUCCCGCUCUAGGACCUUUGCACAUGCUGUGCACUCUGCUUCCAACUAUUUUCCCUCUGUUUAUACCCAUGUAUCUCCCUUUCCUGGUCUCUGUCAGCUCCCUUCAGGAAGCCCUUCUGGAGUCCACGCUGGUGGU